rnacentral:rRNA from 1 species
GACGUAGGGCGCGAGCGUUGUCCGGAUUUAUUGGGCGUAAAGAGCUCGUAGGCGGCUUGUCGCGUCGUCCGUGAAAACCUGCAGCUCAACUGCAGGCUUGCGGUCGAUACGGGCAGGCUAGAGUUCGGUAGGGGAGACUGGAAUUCCUGGUGUAGCGGUGAAAUGCGCAGAUAUCAGGAGGAACACCGGUGGCGAAGGCGGGUUCUCUGGGCCUGUACUGACGCUGAGGAGCGAAAGCGUGGGGAGCGAACAGGA